GCUCACAUGGUCUAACGGUUAUGACACUAGCCUGUCGCGCUGGAAACCCGGGUUCGACUCCCGGUGUGGGCG
rnacentral:tRNA from 7 species